rnacentral:rRNA from 1 species
UUACGGGAGGCAGCAGUGGGGAAUUUUGCGCAAUGGGGGAAACCCUGACGCAGCGACGCCGCGUGGAGGAUGAAGGUCUUCGGAUUGUAAACUCCUUUUGUCGGGGAAGAUAAUGACGGUACCCGAUGAAUAAGCCACGGCUAACUCUGUGCCAGCAGCCGCGGUAAGACAGAGGUGGCAAGCGUUGUUCGGAAUUACUGGGCUUAAAGGGCGCGUAGGCGGUGGAGUAAGUCUGAGGUGGAAGAUUAGGGCUUAACCCUAAAAUUGCCUUGGAAACUGCAUCACUUGAGUCAGCGAGGGGAUGGCGGAAUUCCAGGUGUAGCGGUGAAAUGCGUAGAUAUCUGGAGGAAGGCCGGUGGCGAAGGCGGCCAUCUGGCGCUGAACUGACGCUGAGGCGCGAAAGCGUGGGGAGCAAACAGGAUUAGAUACCCUGGU